CGCGUAUACAACCUACCUUUUGGAGGGGAAUAGCCCAGAGAAAUUUGGAUUAUACCCCAUAGUAUAUAGGAAUCUCCUGAGUUUUUAUAUUGAACAUUUAUGGCCAUUAGAUGGGUAUGCGUCCUAUUAGCUAGUUGGUGUGGUAACGGCACACCAAGGCUACGAUAGGUAGGGGUCCUGAGAGGGAGAUCCCCACACUGGUACUGAGACACGGACCAGACUCCUACGGGAGGCAGCAGUGAGGAAUAUUGGACAAUGGGCGAGAGCCUGAUCCAGCCAUGCCGCGUGCAGGAAGACUGCCCUAUGGGUUGUAAACUGCUUUUACAGAGGAAGAACCACCCCACGUGUGGGGGUUUGACGGUACUCUGCGAAUAAGGAUCGGCUAACUCCGUG
rnacentral:rRNA from 1 species